GGAAGGUACCGCUACGUGGGUGGCAGCCAGUCUUGAAAACUGGAGGGGCGGUAAAACGUUGGGGUUCGACUCCUCUACCUUCCG
rnacentral:tRNA from 1 species